UGACUGCCAGUGAGGAAGGAUUUCUCUCUGGAGGUUGCUUCUUGUGGAGUUUAUUGCAAGCCUACAAUGCUGAUGGGGCGUGGAAUAAUGUCAUUGCAAGAGAAGUGGAUGCACUGACACAACCUCAUGCAGUGUAUUCAGGGAAGGGAGAGUAAGGGAUGAAAGCAAGAUACAGCUGGCAGCAAGCAGAAGAAUAACAGCAUCCCCCUGAAAUAUACAUCACCUAUAUAUAUAUAUAUCCCCCUACAUAUAUCAUUAUUCUGCACCUGCGAGUCCUUAAUAUCAAUCUGGUUUGUUUUUCUUUAAUUUAAUUUAUUAAUAAGAUUUUUAUUAGCCACUAUUGAAUCUGAGAUUUGUAUUCAAGAAAGGAAAUGUCUCCAUCAUCUCCUCUGAUGUCACCCCAGAGAGAAGAUUAGAAGAUUAGCUGUGUCAGCUGACACCAGCCCAGCGGCAGCAAAAAUAAUUUUGCACAUUCAAAGAGAAUGAGGGAGAAAUUCCUCCAAGAAAUGUGAGCCUGACAGAGGCAAUUGUUGGCUCACAACAAGAACGCUUUGUGCAAAUGUGCAGAUAUACAGUAAAUAAAAUAAGCAGAUCAAAGACUUGGAAGAAGAUUCUUCUUAAGGAAGAAAUAAGUGGAUGGUCUCAAUCUCAGCGGUGUUUUGGUCUCACCUGAUUUACAAGCAGUUGCAUUCCUGGAGGAUGAGUUACAAAAGGCCAUUGAAAUUACAUGAGGAAAUAUAAAUGCUACAUUUAAAAAAUAAAGUUGGAGGACUGAGGCAGAAUUUGUGUUCCCAUCAAUUUGUAGGAGCUAUUCAUGCACAGUGCAAUUAGUGCUAAUGGGAUUUCCCUCUGCUGAUGUUCCAGAUGUUAAUGAAAUGCCUCAUGUUGAACUUAAAAAGCAAAAGAGAAAUUCUACAAUUAGGUUUGAUCUUGAUUUCUCUGGAUUUAGUGGCUUUACUGUGGACUAUUUCAGUGGAACUGAGGCUUGCACAGCUGAGCGUGGCUGUAUUCACUCUGCAUAGAUCUUGUGGAAAAGGGAGUGUUGAGCUCUGAAUGUAAAUAUUAUGGUAUCAUGUUUGGGUUUGCAGAGAAGGUGAGAGUCUUGCAAACCUGAUUUGGCAGCUGCGAAAAUAACACUCCGGCAAACAGAUGUUCUCUGUGAUGAGGGAAGUCUUUUAAAAGAUUCACAAAUUAAUGAGAACUGCCAGGUUUUUAGUGGUUCCUACCAGAAUUCCUAUAAAUCAGCCUAGCUGAGUAAGGAGGCAGGGAUGAGAGGAAUCAAUAACCUCACCAAACAGCCUGUAUACCCAAGGUUAGCUGACAAAGGGCUUCAGAGCUGGGAAAUCCCAAGAGGAAUUAAGGAGGUACAAUAUCAUCCUUCCUGAAGGCAAAAGCUGCAACAUCAGUUGUGUGCAGUAAGUGCUCUGGGGGCUAAUUGCAGCCAGCAGCAAUCAGGGAUAUUGGCUCAGCAAUGAGGAGAUGUGAGGUGUCAGCACUCUGUGUUAUUGGCUCAUCCUGGCAGCACUGAAGUGGGGGAAGUGAAGCUCCCUACUUCACCUGCAGGUUGAUAACACAGCUAUCAAGGUAUUGUGCUCCCACCUGCCUUCAGCCCUGAUGGAAACCAGCCCUGAGCUGCAUGUUGCCCAGAGGAGUGGUGGAGUCACAAUCCCUAUAGAUUUUCAAGAGCUUUGUAGGUGUGGCACUGAGGAACAUGGUUUGGUGAGCACAGUGGGGAUGAAUUGACGGAUGGGCUAGGUGAUCUUAGUGGUCUUUUCCAAAGUUAGUGAUUCUAUAAUUCUAACAGAGUGGUUACAAGAGUUGAAGACAUUCACACCUUCAAAAUACUGCCUCCCAAUUGCUAGUCUUAACUUCGUGAAUUUCUGCCUACUUAGAGUCGUGUCAAACUUAGAUUUCACCAGCCCAGCAGAAAUCAUGCCAUGAAAAUUGUCACUGUUAAAUGGUAGCCUUGGUGGGUCAACAAAAGGUCUGUGUUUCAUCCCAUGCUUGUAGGAGCAAACUACACUCCAGCUGUGGGCAAAUACAUCCCCUAGAAUGGGAUUGAACAAGCAGCAGGUGAUGGGCUGCAUAAUCAUGGCCAAAACCACAGCUGACAAGCACUUCUCUUGCAACCUUGUGCUGUGAAAAAUUGUCUGUGAUUUCCUCCUCAUAGGUGUUCCUCUAUCCUGUGUCUUCUGGAAUAGCCAGCAGCAGAGUGAGCACCAGAGAGCAGCAAUAAUCUCUGACCAAUCUCUCCACUCAUCUGCUCCACCAGGCACUGUUCUUUCCAGCACUGGGUGUGGGCCUAUUGGGCAAGGAAACAGAAUUAAUUAAGGAAUUGCUAAUGGAAUCAGACCUGAACAACAGAGAAAUUUAUUUAUUAGGUUAUCUAUGAAUGCAACAUGAUGUACUUUACAAUCCACUUUCAUUUGCUGCUUUGCAAUCAUUUGUCAAGGGCGCCUGCCAGCAGGAAUGACCAGGGAGGAGCUUUCAUUUGUAGUCAUGUGGGAAUGCCUCCACCUUACAAUAAACACAGCUACAAUUAACGGAAGCAGUGACCUUGUUGGCAAUUUC